CCCCGCUCUACCCGUCCUCAACUAUUACAAGGGUCAUGUGUGGGCCUUGAGGUGGCUUGUUGGGUUCCUGUCUUCGUCUCCUGGAAGACUGGAGUCCUUCCUCAGAGGGGUAGCAGUGGAGCUGCACAGCACUGAUGGAUCCCAGCUGUCGUCCUCCUUCCCUUCUUCCUCCCUGAAAGACCAGUGAGUUCUGUCAUUCUGAACUGAACAUAUCAGUAAACUGACUCUAAACAUAUCAGUAUGUAACAUAUCAG